GCAGCGUGGAUAAGCAGCAUGCGGUCGUCAACUAUGAGGCUGGGACAGACGAACACAAGGUCAAGGACCUGGGCAGCCUGAAUGGGACCUUUGUUAAUGAUGUCCGCAUCCAGGAGCAGAUGUACAUCACUCUGAAGUUGGAGGACAAGCUGCGGUUUGGAUAUGAUACCAAUUUGUUCACGGUGGUGAGAGGAGAGCUCACUGUGCCUGAGGAGGCUCUAAAGCAUGAAAAAUUCACCAGCAGCCUCCAGCUCAGCAAGAAACCGCCCAGCGUUGAAACCACUUACCACCACAACCACAAGCAAGUCCCCCAUUAAGACCCCAACAAAAACACCAAAGUCUCCCAGCAGCACCAGCACCCCGAAGCCAGCGGAGAGGAGGCCCACAGACGGGGUGACUUCCUCCAAAGAGCCAGCAGCUAAACCUGUGGACUCACACAAAGCAGAGGAGAGGUUAGC